rnacentral:rRNA from 1 species
CCUACGGGUGGCAGCAGUGAGGAAUAUUGGUCAAUGGGCGGGAGCCUGAACCAGCCAAGCCGCGUGCAGGAAGAAGGCACUGCGUGUCGUAAACUUCUUUUGUCAGGGAACAAAGGCCGCGACUCGUCCCCGUCUGAGGGUACCUGAAGAAAAAGCAUCGGCUAACUCCGUGCCAGCAGCCGCGGUAAUACGGAGGAUGCGAGCGUUAUCCGGAUUUAUUGGGUUUAAAGGGUGCGUAGGCGGUCGGGUAAGUCAGCGGUAAAAGCCCGGGGCUCAACCCCGGCGAGCCGUUGAAACCGGCGGGCUAGAGAGGGAGAGAAGUACGCGGAAUGCGCGGUGUAGCGGUGAAAUGCUUAGAUAUCGCGCAGAACCCCGAUUGCGAAGGCAGCGUACCGGCGCCGCACUGACGCUGAGGCACGAAAGCGUGGGUAUCGAACAGGAUUAGAUACCCUUGUAGUC